GAGAGUUAAACAGUACGUGAAAUUGUUGAAAGGGAAACGAUUGAAGUCAGUCAUACUAACGGGAAAUCAACCUCUUGAGUUUGGUCUCGUGGGUUUCGAAGAGUUUAAAAGCCUUCGGAUUUUCGAGAUUGGGCUCUUCUGGUGUACUUUCUCGUACGGUUAGUCAACAUCGGUUUUGAAUGUCAUAAAAUGACUGGAGGAAUGUGGCUUCGAUCUCGUAUUGAAGUGUUAUAACCUUUGGUAGAUGUGAUGUUUGAGACCGAGGAUUGCAACGGAUACCCUUCUGGGCUAUUCGUCUGAUCUCUGAAACGUUGCCUUGAUGUCGAACACUCGCAUACAUGUUAGGGUAUUACGGUCAAAAGGUUAGAACGGAUUAAAUUCGUUAAGGAUGUUGACGUAAUGACUUUAAACGA
rnacentral:rRNA from 1 species